rnacentral:tRNA from 1 species
GCCUGGGUGGCUCAGUUGGUUAAGCGCCUGACUAUGGCUCAGGUCAUGAUCUCACAGUUUGUGAGUUCGAGCCCCGCAUCAGGCU